rnacentral:rRNA from 1 species
GUGCACGCUGGCGGUAGGCCUAACACAUGCAAGUCGAACGGCAGCACAGUAAGAGCUUGCUCUUACGGGUGGCGAGUGGCGGACGGGUGAGGAAUACAUCGGAAUCUACUUUUUCGUGGGGGAUAACGUAGGGAAACUUACGCUAAUACCGCAUACGACCUACGGGUGAAAGCAGGGGAUCUUCGGACCUUGCGCGAUUGAAUGAGCCGAUGUCGGAUUAGCUAGUUGGCGGGGUAAAGGCCCACCAAGGCGACGAUCCGUAGCUGGUCUGAGAGGAUGAUCAGCCACACUGGAACUGAGACACGGUCCAGACUCCUACGGGAGGCAGCAGUGGGGAAUAUUGGACAAUGGGCGCAAGCCUGAUCCAGCCAUACUGCGUGGGUGAAGAAGGCCUUCGGGUUGUAAAGCCCUUUUGUUGGGAAAGAAAAGCAGCAGGUUAAUACCCCGCUGUUCUGACGGUACCCAAAGAAUAAGCACCGGCUAACUUCGUG